rnacentral:tRNA from 1 species
GCCGGACUAGCUCAGUUGGUAGAGCAACUGAUUUGUAAUCAGUAGGUCCUUGGUUCGAGUCCGAGGUCUGGCA